rnacentral:rRNA from 1 species
AACGAACGCUGGCGGCAUGCCUAACACAUGCAAGUCGAACGGGCAUAUCGGGACGUGUGCCGCACAGGGGCGUGACGCGCGGGAGAAUGCCCCUAGGUUUUGAGUACCACCCAGAGAAAGUUCCUAAAAUAGGAGAAUAUCCUCUGCCCAAAGAUUUAUCGCCCCUGGAUGGGCCCGCGUGUGAUUAGCUAGUUGGUGGGGUAAAAGCUUACCAAGGCGACGAUCCGUAGCUGGUCUGAGAGGAUGAUCAGCCACAUUGGGACUGAGACACGGCCCAGACUCCUACGGGAGGCAGCAGUGGGGAAUAUUGGACAAUGGGCGAAAGCCUGAUCCAGCCAUGCCGCGUGAGUGAUGAAGGCCUUAGGGUUGUAAAGCUCUUUUGCCCGGGAAGAUAAUGACGGUACCGGGAGAAUAAGCCCCGGCUAACUUCGUG